rnacentral:rRNA from 1 species
AGGGUUCGAUUCUGGCUCAGGAUGAACGCUGGCGGCGUGCUUAACACAUGCAAGUCGAACGGAGUUUAGAUGAAAGCUUGCUUUGACUAAACUUAGUGGCGGACGGGUGAGUAACGCGUGGGUAACCUGCCUUAUACAGGGGGAUAACAGUCGGAAACGACUGCUAAUACCGCAUAAGCGCACGGAAUCGCAUGAUUCAGUGUGAAAAGAUUUAUCGGUAUAAGAUGGACCCGCGUCUGAUUAGCUGGUUGGUGAGGUAACGGCCCACCAAGGCGACGAUCAGUAGCCGGCCUGAGAGGGUGAACGGCCACAUUGGGACUGAGACACGGCCCAAACUCCUACGGGAGGCAGCAGUGGGGAAUAUUGCACAAUGGGGGAAACCCUGAUGCCAGCGACGCCGCGUGAGUGAAGAAGUAUUUCGGUAUGUAAAGCUCUAUCAGCAGGGAAGAAAAUGACGGUACCUGACUAAGAGGCCCCGGCUAACUACGUGCCAGCCGCGGC